rnacentral:rRNA from 1 species
GAUGAACGCUGGCGGCGUGCCUAAUACAUGCAAGUCGAACGAAACUGCUUUACUACUGAGUGCUUGUACUCAGCGAAAAAGAGUUGAGUGACGAACGGGUGCGUACCAUGAGGGUAAGAUGCCUUCAGGAGGGGGAUAACACUUGGAAAUAGGAGCUCAUACUGCAUAACCAGGGUUACAGAAUGGUAACUAUGUAAAAGGUGGUUACGGUAGAGCUGCUGGAUGGGCGGGUGGCGCAUUAGCUAGGUUGUAGGGUGAAGGCUUUCCAAGGCGAUGAGGCGUAUCCGAAUUGAGAGGUUGGUCGGCCACAUUGGGACUUGGACACGGCCCUUGCUCCUACGGGAGGCAGCAGUAUGGAAUCUGCCGCAAUGGGCGAAAGCCUUAUGGAGCAACGCCGCGUGGGUUGCGAAAGUCUUCGGUUCGUAAAGCCCUGUUGUGAGAGAUGAAAGGGCUUGGGAGUUACUGUUCACGUUUCGACGGUAACUAACCAGAAAGCCACGGCUAACUACGUG